GCAUACUUUUAUCGUACACAACGACCAUCGCGUUAUGAAGAAAGAUAAAAAGACGUCGAUGCGAAGAGGAACACCAACCUGACGAUAAGUAGCGAGAUGGAAAGCGCGAGCGCACACGCGCGCUACGCGGCUCGUAAAGUCGAGCAGGGUGCGAAAGGCGAGGCAGAUUUAUAAAGUGGGUUACGCCGAAAACGAGUGAACGAGUAGGCUUGCCGUCAGAAUUUACGACGGGGGAACAAUCUCGAAAGUGCUGUAGAGUCAAAAUCACCGUGUAAUGGAAGCUCAUCCCACGACAGACGUGUAUAUUUACUAGCAGGUGAGCAAGCAGCGACCUGUUUAUGCACGCCAAGGACGGGCAUUGUUGAGGUCCGAUUUAUGAAGGAUGCAGAGCAUGGAGAUCGAGCACCGACGCGAGUCACUGCUAACUUAUGCUCGGAUUGUCGAAGCUGCGAGUUUAUCACGCUGAAAAAGUCAACGCGAUCAAAGGCUGUCAAUCAACACAGCAAAUUUUACACUCUCGUCGCUAUCCGGACAUGAUAUAUGCGAUCCAUGUCGAUGAUCUCUGAAAUCCGUUUUCACACGUACGAAAUAUUCGCGCAGACGAUUCCUUAUCCCGCGAGAUAUAAAAAAAAGUGUCGCUAUAAAAGAGGCACAUAUGCGCGAGGCGACAGGCUUGAAUAGCCGCGGUGAGUAUUCUGCAUGACUAAACACCGAACAAAAUGCGCGGAACCCUUUUACAAGCCAUCAAUCAAUAAGUAAGAGAAUGUAGAAUCGCCGAGCGAAUCUCAGACCGUGCUGCCUGAAUUUUUUUCCUGACUGACUCUCUUAUCCGAGACGCGCCUUCCUCUCGCGGCUUCCCAUGCUGACUUGCAGCAACAGAUCCGGGGCCCCGACCUUCGCGAGGAAGAUAAAACGAAAAAAGAGGAAGAUAGGGGGAGAGAGAGAGAGAGAGAGAAAGAGAGAGGGGGAGAGAAAGAGGGAAAGAGAGAGACGGUGAGAAGUGUACGCGAGGCGAGAAAAUUUUAAUGGCGCCUCCGUCCGACCGUUUAGACACAAUAAACGUCAACAGACCCGGUUGCGCCCUCCUUACACCUUUUUUUCUUUUUUUCUUUCCGGCAAGUCAUUUUGAUUCGGUUGCACACGGCGGCUGCAUCUG